UUUCUUGGUCAACCUUGUGUUCUUUUUAUUUGUGUUCUUGAACAUAACCCUGUUUCUUUGUGUUCUGGAACUUAGCCCUGUCUUUAAUUUUUGUUGAUUGAUUUCACCUGUGUUUGGUCUCAUCAGUUCCCUAUUUAGUUCAGUUCUUUCUGUUUGUAUGAUUGUGAGGUAUUGGUUGUUUUUGAACAUUGCCUGUGACCACGAUUCCUGUCUUUUGCAUCAGACUGUGGCCCUCAGUUCACCUCACUUGUAUGGAAAGAAUUCAUGGAACGCCUGGGGGUCAUGGUCAGUCUCCCCUCUGGGUACUGUCCUCAAGCUAAUGGGCAGGUGGAGCAGGUUAAUUAAGAAGUGGGCAGGUUCCUGAGGUAUUACUGUCAGGACCGGUGGGAGAGUGGGUGGAUUUUCUACCUUGGGCUGAGUACAUGCAGAAUUCCCUCCGCCACUAACCUCAGUCCUUUCCAGUGUGUGUUGGGGUAUCAGCCGGCCUUGGCAUCCGAGCCAGACUGAGGCCCCUGCGGUGCAGGAGUGGUUUCGGCGUGCUGAGGAGACCUGGAACGCUGCGCACACUCGUCUCCAGUGGGCAGUGUGUUGGCACAAGAAACAGGCCGACCGCCACCGCAGUGAGGCGCCUGUUUUUUUCUCCAGGCGACCAGGUCUGGCUCUCCUGUAACCUACCCCUCCGCCUGCCCUGCCGGAAGCUGAGUCUUUGGUUUGUGGGCCAGUGGUGCCUGGUCCCCUCGCUGAGGCUGGACCCAGUGAUGCCCUGCCUCCUCUUCUGGACAUCGAGGGAGGUCUGUCGUACUUGGUCAGUGAAGUUCUGGAUUCGAGGCGUCAGGUCUCCAGUACCUCAUCGACUGGGAGAGGUACGGCCCAGAGGAGUGGCGACGUGUUCCUGCGGUGGACAUCCUGGACGCUUCGCUGACCAGGGAUUUUCACCAUUGACUGACCCACACCUUGUCCCUGAGGCCGGUACUCAGAUCUGUCUUGUCUCAUUACGCACACCUGGUUCCCCCUGAUUAGUGUGUGCCCUCUCUUCCCCAUUGUGCUUUUUUUUUAUUGUCCAUUGGUGUUGAGUACCUGUGUUCUGUUGUAUUGUGCACUUAUUACGGGUCUCGUUCUUUUUUUUGUCUUUGUUUUGGGCUUCAUCCCCGUUUUCAUAACGUACUUUAUUUUAAAUGUAUAAAUAAAACCCCUUAGGCAAA